CUCCCACAUGACAGCAUUAUUCUAAUCUUAUUGCAGCUAGUGGAUGUUUCUACAGUUCAUAGUGUAAGCCUGAUGGCAGCAUUCAGGGAUGUGAAAGCAUCGCAAUCUGUGUUUGGCUACGUCCGAGACACUUGCAUCAGUAUUCUACUGCAGCCUUGUUGCUAAUUUCUGGCUCUAUUUCAGGCGGCAGCAAGCACGUCAACGGAAUCAACUGGAUUUGAUGUGGAGGUCAUGGCUGAAGCAAGUGCUGGGGACCCACUUCACGGCGCAUCUCACAAGGGGGUUGUCAUCCCCUGAUUCCAGGAAGAGGAAAACAAUGUACACAGACUUGCAUAGCGUAUUAGUACACCAGAUAUGGAUCUGCCAACAUGAACCCUUCUAACAUCCCUGUGGCAGCGUACCUGUAACCGCCCAGACUUCACACCACAUUAAUGUAGAACCACAGCACAACAUAAAAUAGCUUAGGUUUAUUUGCCUCCCAUACAUAAUGGGAGGCAAAUAAACCUAUGCUAUUUCGUUAUUCCCACUCCGUCAUACUCCACUGUACAAUAAAUCGAUACAAUUAUA